rnacentral:lncRNA from 1 species
CAAUUAAGAAAAUAGUUAAUGCAAUAAAAUAUUGCAUAUACAUUUAUUGUAUCUGGUUCCACCAUUUGAUUAUAUAUAGUAUUCUUGGAAAACAUAUUUUUACGAAUAAGAUGGACUCUUCAAUGUAUUCAGUUGGCAAGUUGGCAAUCUUAUUAGCUUUCUUCAUCGUAGCUUCAGGUGAGAAAUGAUGUUUUAUUUUGAUCCUCUCUAAUGAGUCUCAUCUCUCAACUCAAAUGAGUCAUUUUCCUACGCAUUACAUUUUGAUUUUUGACUCAAACAAAAUUUUUCACAUGUUACAUAAAAUUAAUGUUGUUCUUAUGAUUAUUUGGGAAUGCAGAUGUGUGCAUGGAAUCAGAAGCACUUGGAAAGGGCUGCGACUUCGACUUCGAGUGUCGAUAUGGAUGUCAAAAUGUUCCAAAUUGUGGCUGCAAAGUGAAAUGUAUUAACCACAUAUGUCGGUGUCCAAGGUCAACAACCUCCAACAAUAAUUUUCUUAAUCGAGGCCCCCCUAAAUUGAGUGCCGAGAUCUUGUGAUGCAAUUAUCAUGUGCUUGAUAUUCAUUGUUUUUUAUAAUGAAUAGUGAAUGAUUGCAUGCAUGUUGAUUUGUACCCAAACAUUCCAUCAUGAAUGCCAAAUAAAACUUAAGCUUUGCUUUCUUCUU